GAUGAACGCUGGCGGCGUGCCUAAUACAUGCAAGUCGAGCGAACAGACGAGGAGCUUGCUCCUUUGACGUUAGCGGCGGACGGGUGAGUAACACGUGGGUAACCUACCUAUAAGACUGGGAUAACUUCGGGAAACCGGAGCUAAUACCGGAUAAUAUUUCGAACCGCAUGGUUCGAUAGUGAAAGAUGGCUUUGCUAUCACUUAUAGAUGGACCUGCGCCGUAUUAGCUAGUUGGUAAGGUAACGGCUUACCAAGGCAACGAUACGUAGCCGACCUGAGAGGGUGAUCGGCCACACUGGAACUGAGACACGGUCCAGACUCCUACGGGAGGCAGCAGUAGGGAAUCGUCCGCAAUGGGCGAGAGCCUGACGGAGCAACGCCGCGUGAGUGAUGAAGGUCUUCGGAUCGUAAAACUCUGUUAUUAGGGAAGAACAAACGUGUAAGUAACUGUGCACGUCUUGACGGUACCUAAUCAGAAAGCCACGGCUAACUACGUG
rnacentral:rRNA from 1 species